AAGAAAGUAGUUAAGGGCGUAUGGAGGAUGCCUUGGCUCUCAGAGACGAUGAAGGACGUGCUAAGCUGCGAUAAGCUACGGGAAGUUGCACAGAAACUGUAAUCCGUAGAUUUCCGAAUGGGGCAACCCGGCUAGUUGAAGACUAGUCAUCCGAAAGGAAGUGAACCCGGAGAACUGAAACAUCUAAGUACCCGGAGGAAGAGAAAACAAUAGUGAUUCCGCAAGUAGUGGCGAGCGAACGCGGAUUAGCCCAAACCUUGAUCGUUACGGCGGUUGAGGGGUUGUAGGACUGCAAUGUGGACUAUACAAUGAAUUAGAAUGACUUGGGAAAGUCAACCAUAGAAGGUGAAAGUCCUGUAUAAGUAAAGUUGUAUUACCUAGCAGUAUCCUGAGUAAGGCGGGACCGGAGAAAUCCCGUCUGAAUCUACCGGCACCAUCCGGUAAGGCUAAAUACUCCUGAGAGACCGAUAGUGAACUAGUACCGUGAGGGAAAGGUGAAAAGUACCCUGAAUAAGGGGGUGAAAUAGUACCUGAAACCAUACGCUUACAAGCGGUCGGAGCCCAUUAGUUGGGUGACGGCGUGCCUUUUGCAUAAUGAGCCUACGAGUUAGUGUUGUUGGCAAGGUUAAUACAUUAAGUGUUGAAGCCGAAGCGAAAGCGAGUCUUAACAGGGCGAUCAGUCAGCAGUACU
rnacentral:rRNA from 1 species